rnacentral:rRNA from 1 species
UACGGAGGAGGCAAGCGUUAUCCGGAAUUAUUGGGCGUAAAGCGUCCGUAGGUGGGUUAUCAAGUCUUUUGUCAAAGCGUGGGGCUUAACCUCAUAUCGGCAGGAGAAACUGGUAGUCUAGGGUGCGACAGGGGCAAGGGGGAAUUCCUAGUGUAGCGGUGAAAUGCGUAGAGAUCCGGAGGAACACCAGCGGCGAAGGCGGCAUCCUGGACUGGUCCUGACACUCAGGAGCGAAAGCGUGGGGAGCGAACGAGG